GUUGCUUUGGCAGAAUAGUGUAAUAGAUUUAGGAUCUUUGUAUGUAGUUAAUAUCUACAAGUAACA
rnacentral:tRNA from 1 species